UGUGCACUGGUGGGGUCCCUCAGCCUGGCCUGCCCCCUCUCACAACCCGGGACCCUUGGGGGAUGUCGGACUGCUGGUUUCGGUCCAAUCUCCACAGGCCAGGCUGAGGGACCCCACCGGUGCAUG
rnacentral:pre_miRNA from 1 species